rnacentral:rRNA from 1 species
CGCGUAGGCGGGGAUGUAAGUCAGACGUGAAAUCCCGGGGCUCAACCUCGGAACAGCAUUUGAAACUACAUCUCUCGAGGGUAGGCGGAGAAAACGGAAUUCCACAAGUAGCGGUGAAAUGCGUAGAUAUGUGGAAGAACACCGGUGGCGAAGGCGGUUUUCUAGCUUAUUCCUGACGCUAAAGCGCGAAAGCAAGGGGAUCAAACAG